GGCCUAYGGGGCGCAGCAGGCGAGAAAACUUUGCAAUGUGCGAAAGCACGACAAGGUUAAUCCGAGUGUUUUCUGCUAAAGAAAUCUUUUGUUAGU
rnacentral:rRNA from 1 species